AAUUGAACAACCCCACCUGCGAGGUCUGGGAAUACAGAUGCCGGUUGCCUCCUCUUCUGCAACUCUGGUGACAGAAUCGCUCCCCCGAAGCGAACUAUUUCUCCGUUUCUUUCCUAAACUCUAGCUAUGCAUCUCGCCGUCGUCUCCCGCUCCGCACGCAAGCAGCGGGCGGCUGCUGCUCCGCGCCUCCGUCGUGUGGGGCUCGCGAGAGCCUGGACCAUGGCGGAGGCCUCCGCCGACGUUGCUCGCCACCGGAUUUGGCGUGGUCUACUUCUUCGGUUAUUGGUUGGCUACUUGGCUUCACGUCUCUUCCACCCCAAACAAGAGCUUAAUUGGGCCGAUCUCAAGCCCUAGAAGGAACUUGCACUUCUCGACCAAAAAACCCAAACAAGGCCUAAUUGGGUCAAUUCCCCCUAUAUUCUCGUUUCGCACGGCUCAACCGCUCAUCAAGCCCUAGAUAGUGCUCUCUCUCUCUCUUCGCUCGAUUCGCCGGUGAUGGCGGUGCCGCCGGAGGCGACGAGGGCGCCGCCCCAGACUGAAGGACGGCGUCGAGGUCUGCGUAUUUGACGAAUCACCAGAGGUCUUCUCCAGAGCGGUGCACGCCAUCUCGGAGCUCACAGCCGGGGAGCCCGAGCCGAACUUCCCUAACGCCGAAGUCGAGCGGCUCGCCUCUUCAUUAACUUUCCUCGGAAGUUAAGAAAGUGAGAGUGGUUGGCUGACGGCCAAGUGUGGUGAUGGCAGCAAGGAUAGAGGGGGCGAGGCAGUGGCACGCCUAACUCUAACCAACGAGAGCAAGAGAAGAGCAGAGCCAAAAUUAGACACUAACAUGGUUAGCAAACUGGAUCAUGUGUGUCGUGUGUUGUAAUUUGGUUUUGGAAACAAAAAAGAUUGUAAUUAGACCAUAAUAUAGACAUUGUGAAGGAACACGAUCUUGAUGGAACACU